rnacentral:misc_RNA from 1 species
GAUGAAGAACGUAGCGAAAUGCGAUAAGUAAUGUGAAUUGCAGAAUUCAGUGAAUCAUCGAAUCUUUGAACGCACCUUGCGCUCCUUGGUAUUCCGAGGAGCAUGCCUGUUUGAGUGUCAUUAAAUUCUCAACCAUUAUCAACUUUUGCUGAUAAUGGCUUGGAUGUGGGGGUCUAUUUUGCUGGCUUCUCAGAUAGUCAGCUCCCCUUAAAUGCAUUAGCCGGUGCCCCGCGUGGACUGUCUAUUGGUGUGAUAAUUAUCUACGCUAUAGACAUCUGCAAUCAUAUGGGUUUGCGCUGCUUCUAACAGUCUGUUGAUUCAGACAAUCCAUGACAAUUUGACCUCAAAUCAGGUAGGACUACCCGCUGAACUUAAGCAUAUCAAUAAGCGGAGGA